rnacentral:rRNA from 1 species
AUUGAACGCUGGCGACAGGCCUAACACAUGCAAGUCGAACGAGUGGCGGACGGGUGAGUAAUGUCUGGGAAACUGCCCGAUGGAGGGGGAUAACUACUGGAAACAGUAGCUAAUACCGCAUACCAUCGGAUGUGCCCAGAUGGGAUUAGCUAGUAGGUGGGGUAACGGCUCACCUAGGCGACGAUCCCUAGCUGGUCUGAGAGGAUGACAGGCAACACUGUAACUGAGAUACGGUCCAGCCUCCUACGGGAGGACGGAGUGGGGAUUAUUGCUAAAUGGGCGCAAGCCUGAGGCAGCCAUGACGCGUGUAUGAAGAAGGCCUUCGGGUUGAAAAGUACUUUCAGCGAGGAGGGGUUACUCGCAGAAGAAGCACCGGCUAACUCCGUGCCAGCAGCCGCGGUAAUAC